rnacentral:misc_RNA from 1 species
AAAAUAAUCCUACCCUUUGUGAAUUUUGUUUGUUUGAAUAAUUUUUUUUUUUAAAAAAUUAUUGGAGUCUUUCCCUUUUAGUUUGCUUUUGAGUUUGUAAAAGAAUUCGAAAACAUCUAAAGGGGAUGGUCAAUAAUUUUUUUGAAAAAAGACAUUUUUUAAAAUUAAACUUUUUGUAUUCAUUUGUCUAAAAAUUAUUUUUAUAAUAUAAAAACAACUUUUGACAAUGGAUCUCUUGGUUCUCGCAACGAUGAAGAACGCAGCAAAAUGCGAUAAGUAGUGUGAAUUGCAGAAUACGUGAAUCAUCGAAUCUUUGAACGCAUAUUGCACUUUUUAGUUUACUAAAAAAGUAUGUCUGUUUGAGUAUCAGUAAAAUAUUCUCAUAAAAGUCAUUGUAUUUUUAUGGUUAUGAGUGUUUUACAACGAUACAAGUUGUUUCACUUUAAAUUUUUUUUUAAUAUUGAAAUUUUUCUAAUUUUAAUAAUUAAAAUUGGAUAAAAUUUUCCCGUCAAAAGGAAUAACCUAAACAAUUUUAAAUGAUUAAUUUUAGCAAAAUUUUCGUAAAAAAGGAAAAUUUUUAUUAAAAUAACUUGAUCUCAAAUCAGAUAAGAGUACCCGCUGAACUUAAGCAUAUCAAUAAGCGGAGGAAAAGAAACUAACAAGGAUUCCCUUAGUAACGGCGAGUGAAGCGGGAAGAGCUCAAAUUUGAAAUCUUCAAGGUUUUACCUUGACGAAUUGUAGUUUAAAGAAGUGUUUUCUGCUGAAGUUUUGGUAAAAGUUCUUUGGAAUAGGACAUCAUAGAGGGUGAGAAUCCCGUAUUUGACCAUUAUUUUCAGCUUUGUGAUACACUUUCAAAGAGUCGGAUUGUUUGGGAAUGCAGUCCAAAAUGGGUGGUAAAUUUCAUCUAAAGCUAAAUAUUGGCGAGAGACCGAUAGCGAACAAGUACCGUGAGGGAAAGAUGAAAAGAACUUUGAAAAGAGAGUUAAACAGUACGUGAAAUUGUCAAAAGGGAAGCGUUUGACACCAGUGUUGUUUUCUCGAAAAUCAAUUAAAAAUGGCUCGAUUUUGUAUUGCUGAGACCUUAAAAGCUCACUGUACAUUUUUCGUGUCUUUUUCAAUGCACUUUUCGUUUAACAAGUCAACAUCAGUUUCUUUUGUUGUAAAAGGGUCAUUGGAAGGUGGCUUUCUUUUCGGAGAAAGUGUUUAUAGCCUUUGGCCUCUGCAAUCGGAGAGACUGAGGUCUGCAGCGUAGACUCUUCGGGGUUAGAUACAUUUGUGCUAAGUUAUAGCUUUUUAUAGACAACUUGUUGACUAUAAUAGUCUUGUAGCUUACUCGCUUAUGCUAUUU